rnacentral:rRNA from 1 species
AGAGACAGCAGCAGCCGGGGAAUACGGAGGGCGCGAGCGUUACCCGGAUUUACUGGGCGUAAAGGGCGUGUAGGCGGCCUGGGGCGUCCCAUGUGAAAGGCCACGGCUCAACCGUGGAGGAGCGUGGGAUACGCUCAGGCUAGAGGGUGGGAGAGGGUGGUGGAAUUCCCGGAGUAGCGGUGAAAUGCGCAGAUACCGGGAGGAACGCCGAUGGCGAAGGCAGCCACCUGGUCCACUUCUGACGCUGAGGCGCGAAAGCGUGGGGAGCAAACCGGAUUAGAUACCCCCGUAGUCCCUGUCUCUUAUACA